AUUGAACGCUGGCGGCAGGCCUAACACAUGCAAGCCGAACGGUAGCACAGAGAGCUUGCUCUCGGGUGGCGAGUGGCGGACGGGUGAGUAAUGUCUGGGAAACUGCCCGAUGGAGGGGGAUAACUACUGGAAACGGUAGCUAAUACCGCAUAACGUCUUCGGACCAAAGUGGGGGACCUUCGGGCCUCACACCAUCGGAUGUGCCCAGAUGGGAUUAGCUAGUAGGUGGGGUAAUGGCUCACCUAGGCGACGAUCCCUAGCUGGUCUGAGAGGAUGACCAGCCACACUGGAACUGAGACACGGUCCAGACUCCUACGGGAGGCAGCAGUGGGGAAUAUCGCACAAUGGGCGCAAGCCUGAUGCAGCCAUGCCGCGUGUAUGAAGAAGGCCUUCGGGUUGUAAAGUACUUUCAGCGGGGAGGAAGGCGUUAGGGUUAAUAACCUUGGCGAUUGACGUUACCCGCAGAAGAAGCACCGGCUAACUCCGUGCCAGCCGCCGCGGUAA
rnacentral:rRNA from 1 species